rnacentral:rRNA from 1 species
UACGUAGGUGGCAAGCGUUAUCCGGACUUACUGGGCGUAAAGCGCACGCAGGCGGUCUUGUAAGUUUGACGUGAAAGCUCCCGGCUUAACUGGGAGAGGUCGUUGAAGACUGCAAGACUUGAGGAAAUGAGAGGGGUGUAGAAUUCCCGGUGUAGUGGUGGAAUGCGUAGAUAUCGGGGGGAAUACCAGUGGCGAAAGCGGCACCCUAGCAUUUUUCUGACGCUCAUGUGCGAAAGCGUGGGGAGCGAACGGG